GGUGCUAUAGUGUAGUGGUUAUCACUCAGGAUUUUGAAGUUCUUCAUGCUAUUUCAUGGAAACAUGGGAUCGAACGAUGUACGGAAUUCCUGAGACCCAGGUUCGAUCCCUGGUAGCACCU
rnacentral:tRNA from 1 species